rnacentral:lncRNA from 1 species
ACUUCAGCCUCCUGAGUUGCUGGGACCACAGGUGCACGCACCACCCCCUGGCUUUUAUUUUUUUAUUUUUUUUAUUUUUUGGCAGAGACAGUGUCGCCUUAUGUUGCCCAGGCUGAACACCUGUGUCUCUUAACCUAAGAGCUGUCUCCAGCACAGGAUGCAAGACAGCCCCAAAAAAGUGUUAGGGACUUAAAGCCACCAGAAGCUUUUCUUAACCAAUGGAAUACAGGAGUCAAUGGGAACAUCCUGUCCAGAGGAAAGGAUAUUUAAGGAGAAAGGAAGCAGCACAAGUUCGACUCAGCCAAGAAACAGAGGAAGGACAUCCCAAGCACGAAGUGGGGCACCAGUCUGUGUUCCAGCGAGAGAUAAAAGGGAGAGACACAACUGGCUCCAGCCCUUUUCCUGCCUCUUCCUGCUUUGAAUACUCACAUGAUACCUGGAGCUGCAGCAGCCAUCUUGUUUACCAAGAAGAAAAGCCAAGAUGAUCACAGAAUAGCCAGCACUGGUAUUGUUCCGCCAGCGACAGCAGAUACUUACCUCCAGAUUUUUGGGGAAAAAAAAUGAGCUGGAGUGACUCUCUUGGUCCCUAAGGUGGAAGCCAUGUGUUGAGGACACUGAGCAACAAGAUAGGAGGAGCCUGGGGCCCAGCCAGAGAACAGGAAGCCACCCAAAUAGCUCUCAACCCCUUAUAGAUGGACUACUAAAUGGGAAAUAAAGUAGACUGUUCUCUC